rnacentral:misc_RNA from 1 species
CAACCCUCAAGCACUGCUUGGUGUUGGGGCACUGCCUGUAAAAGGGCAGGCCCUGAAAUUCAGUGGCGAGCUCGCCAGGACCCCGAGCGCAGUAGUUAAACCCUCGCUUUGGAAGGCCCUGGCGGUGCCCUGCCGUUAAACCCCCCAACUCUUGAAA